AAGACAUUGAAAACCAUAGCCGUAUCUCUCCGAUAACUAGCCUACAAGUCGAAGAAAAAUCGUUCCACAUACAAGCUUUGCAUCAAUUUUUUUUCUCAAUCUGCGGCAUACUAUGAACGAUCGAGCUUCUUUUCUCCUUCUCUUCUUUUAUUCUCCUUGUCGUGUCCACACUCCACAGCUUGCUCCACAACAUAGCAAAACCACAACAACAUCAACCAGGGAGCGGAAUUGAUUCCUUCAGAAAUUUUGAGGGGGUCUUUCUUGAUUUAAUUUUCGAGUGAGAUAGUUCGUUUGGUUAUGAGACAAUCUAAGACAUUGAAAAUCAGUGCUAGUCAUCUAGUGUUACCAACAAUUUUUAUUCAAGAACAUGCUAUGAAUGAGAAAUCAUGUGUAUGGCACACUACUGAUUUCUUUGAAGGUGAAUGGAAAGAAGAGUUGUUCUGUGUUCAAUUUGCAUCCAUUGAGAGUAAGUACUUCUUGAGAUUUUAAUUGAUUUCAAUUUACUAUUGGUAUUUUAUUUCUGUAUAUUUUGAAGAGAGUUUUGCAGCACCAGUUACCAUUAGGGUUGUCUUUGUUUUCUUGUUUGAUUGCUCAUGUUAAUCUUAGUAGCAAAUGACUAAGUGUAUCCAACUAUCAAUGUU